rnacentral:rRNA from 1 species
GAUGAACGCUGGCGGCGUGCCUAAUACAUGCAAGUCGAGCGAACAGACGAGUAGCUUGCUCGUCGGACGGUAGCGGCGGACGGGUGAGUAACACGUGGAUAAGCUACCUAUAAGACUGGGAUAACUUCGGGAAACCGGAGCUAAUACGGGAUAAGAUAUUGAGCGGCGGGGUUCAAGAGUGAAAGACGGUUGUGCGGUCACUGAUAGAUGGAUCCGCGCGGCAGUAGCUAGUUGGUAAGGUAACGGCUUACCAAGGCAACGAUGCGUAGCCGACCUGAGAGGGUGAUCGGCCACACUGGAACUGAGACACGGCCCAGACUCCUACGGGAGGCAGCAGUAGGGAAUCUUCCGCAAUGGGCGCAAGCCUGACGGAGCAACGCCGCGUGCGUGAUGAAGGUCUUCGGAUCGUAAACCUCUGUUAUUCGGGACGAAAAAAUGUGUACGUAACUAUGCACGUCUUGACGGUACCUAAUCAGAAAGCCCCGGCUAACUACGUG